AACUAGCCCUGAUCGAAACGCAUCCUUUUAUGGUGGUCCCGAUAGCUAUCGGGACAUAAAAGAUAUAGUGCAGAGCAGGACAAAUG
rnacentral:sRNA from 1 species